GACGGGGGGCCCGCACAAGCGGUGGAGCAUGUGGUUUAAUUCGAUGCAACGCGAAGAACCUUACCUGGUCUUGACAUCCACAGAAUUUUGUAGAGAUACGAAAGUGCCUUAGGGAGCUGUGAGACAGGUGCUGCAUGGCUGUCGUCAGCUCGUGUUGUGAAAUGUUGGGUUAAGUCCCGCAACGAGCGCAACCCUUAUCCUUUGUUGCCAUCGGUUAGGCCGGGAACUCAAAGGAGACUGCCGUUGAUAAAGCGGAGGAAGGUGGGGACGACGUCAAGUCAUCAUGGCCCUUACGACCAGGGCUACACACGUGCUACAAUGGCGCAUACAAAGAGAAGCAAACCAGCGAUGGCAAGCGGACCUCAUAAAGUGCGUCUAAGUUCGGAUUGGAGUCUGCAACUCGACUCCAUGAAGUCGGAAUCGCUAGUAAUCGUGAAUCAGAAUGUCACGGUGAAUACGUUCCCGGGCCUUGUACACACCGCCCGUCACACCAUGGGAGUGGGUUGCACCAGAAGUAGAUAGC
rnacentral:rRNA from 1 species